rnacentral:lncRNA from 12 species
GAGCUAUGUAGGUGGCAUGGAAGAGGAGUGAUGCCUAGUGGGACAGACUGCAUCAGAAGCUCUUUAAACCUCAUAUGUAUUUAAAAAGGGUGAGCAAUGGAAGAAGAACGGGAAAGAGAAGAAUGGCAAACUUCACAUUAUUGUCUGGAUGCUCCUUAGAUCUAAAUAUUGGGAUUUCAAGAGACGCUUCAGAGAACUUUAAAACUUUCAAUAAUGUUUUAAAUACCUGGGGAAUAAAAACAAAAACCAAGAGUAAUAAUGUUGGAGGAAGAGGCAGUGGAAAGGAACAGAGAAUAGGAGCAAAAGGAAAAACAAAGGUGACUGGACAAAAAGGGAAUCCCAUCAAAGCAAGAAGGGGUGAAGUGGCUGAGAAGGGCCAGUGCCAGUGGUAUGUGACUCCAGGAUCUACUGAAAGAAGUUUGCAUUGCAGGUCCAUUUGUAGAUCUUGAUCUACACAUCAGAGACUCAAUAGUUAAUUUUACUCACUAAGAUAAAGGUCUUAUUUAUCUGAUUUUAACAGAUGUAAUAAAAUUAUUUAAAUUAAUCUUUACCA